GACGAACGCUGGCGGCGUGCUUAACACAUGCAAGUCGAACGGAAAGGCCCUGCUUUUGUGGGGUGCUCGAGUGGCGAACGGGUGAGUAACACGUGAGUAACCUGCCCUUGUCUUUGGGAUAACUCCAGGAAACUGGGGCUAAUAUCGGAUAGGAGCUCCUGCAGCAUGGUGGGGGUUGGAAAGUUUCGGCGGUUGGGGAUGGUCUCGCGGCUUACCGGCUUGUUAGUGGGGUAGUGGCUUACCAAGCCUUCGACGGGUAGCCGGCCUGAGAGGGUGAACGGCGACAUGGGGACUGAGGUACGGAGCAGACGCGAACGGGAGGCAGUGGUGGAGAAUAUGACGCAGUGAGCGGGAGCGUGAUACAACAGCGCCGCGAGCGGAAUACCGUGCUACGAGUUAUAAACCGAUUUCGCCUUAAACAUGGCGUUAGUGACGGUAAUGGAUAAAAAAGCAACGGCUAACUACGUG
rnacentral:rRNA from 1 species